AGAGCGAACGCUGGCGGCAGGCUUAACACAUGCAAGUCGAGCGCCCCGCAAGGGGAGCGGCAGACGGGAGAGUAACACGUGGGAACGUACCUUUCGGUUCGGAACAACCCAGGGAAACUUGGGCUAAUACCGGAUACGUCCGUAAGGAGAAAGAUUUAUCGCCGAAAGAUCGGCCCGCGUCUGAUUAGCUAGUUGGUGAGGUAACGGCUCACCAAGGCGACGAUCAGUAGCUGGUCUGAGAGGAUGAUCAGCCUCACUGGGACUGAGACACGGCCCAGACUCCUACGGGAGGCAGCAGUGGGGAAUAUUGGACAAUGGGCGCAAGCCUGAUCCAGCCAUGCCGCGUGGGUGAUGAAGGCCCUAGGGGUUGUAAAAGGCCCUUUUCGGGCGGGGAAGAUAAUGACGGUACCCGCAGAAGAAGCCCCGGCUAACUUCGUGCCAGCAGCCGC
rnacentral:rRNA from 1 species